GUAAGACCCCACCUUGUAUAUGUGGUGCAAUAUUGGGCACCAGUUUUAGAGAAGGAUAUUGCAGAAGUAGAAAAAGUGCAGAGGCUAACUACAAAACUAGUAAUGGGGGUGGAAAACAUUAGUUAUAAGGAAACUCAAAAAACUGGAAUUGUUUUCUUUAAAAAAAAAAAAAAAGGUACCUCAGAGGGGAUAUGAUAGAAAUAUACAAAUAUAUACUGGGUCAGUACAAACUGCUAUGUGCUAACAUGUUCAUUAGCACGAAUGUACAACAGACAUAAGGUCAUUCAUUUAGACUGGGAGAGAGACAUUUUUGCUUACAGCAGAGGAAAGGGAUCUUUACA